rnacentral:rRNA from 1 species
GACGAACGCUGGCGGCGUGCCUAACACAUGCAAGUCGAGCGAAUUUUUUCUGCUUCUUCCUCCGUUAAGACUUAGCGGCGAACGUGUGACUAACACGUCAACAACCUGCCUCAUAGUCUGGUCCAACUAUUGGAACCGAUACCUCAUACCUGCUAAUAGCAUUAACUGCAUGUUUGCUGUUUAAAAGCUGUUUUUUCUAACACUAUGAGAUUGCCUUGCUGUGGAUUAGCUAGUUGGUGGGGUAAAGGCCUACCAAGGCGACGAUGCAUAGCCGACCUGAGAGGGUGAUCAGCCACACUGGGACUGAGACACGGCCCAGACUCCUACGGGAGGCAGCAGUAGGGAAUAUUGGGCAAUGGGCGAAAGCCUGACGGAGCAACGCCGCGUGAGUGAAGAAGGAGUUCGGAUCGUAAAGCUCUGUUGUUAGGGAAGAAGGGAAGUAAGGUAACAACACACAGUAGUGACGGUACCUAAAGAGAAAGCCACGGCUAACUACGUG